UCAGCGAUUAGCGAGACACUUUCUUUACGCUGAAACAGCUUUAACCCUAAGGGCUUCUUCUUCACGCCGUGGGCUGGAUCAGGGUUGCCCCCAUUGCCAAGAUUCCCCACUGCUGCCUCCCGUAAG
rnacentral:rRNA from 1 species